UGACAGUUGAGUCAAAUAUUUCCUGGACCUUUCCAGAACCUCCAACUCUGACAAAAGAAAAGGUCUUAAUUGUCCCUUCAGUGCAGUACGUGAACAUUCCCUCCCGCGCUGCAGUUUGAAAGUCGCACAAACUCGCCUAGUUCAAGGCAUUUUUGGUGAAAGGUCUCGUCUGAUCGGCAUCGGUCGAAGGUGCGGUCACGCGAGAAUAUCUUCGUUGAUCAUCUGGUUCUAAAGCUGAUUUCAGUCGGUUUGUAUUGACAUGAAAAAAGAAAAGAGAUUGCUUCGCCAUAUGAUUAAGGCUGAGAGAGAGGAAGUUCUAGGUACCCACCAUUGCACGGGGCUUCCGCUGUCAAUGCAGGUUCAGGGAUUCCGCUGUGAACGUGCUACCUCUACAUGACAGUGAAACAAAUCUACCACUAGAUUGUUUUGUCCACUUGUGUACACAACAUUUUGGUGCCGGAAUGUCUAUGAUUCUGUGGAAAAAGACGAUGAUCUACUGCUAGAACCGCGGUCAGAUAAGCAAUACUCUUCCAUAAUCCAAUUAGUUUUGAUUCCGGAAGGAGCUUCACCUGCAUAGAACACAAGGUGUGUGUGCGUAUAUAUAAUACCUUCUAGCUCCCAAGGAUCAUAAGGAUAGAGAUCAAGAUCAGGGAUGACAUCAGGAUGGCAAGGCAAGAGCGUGGCCUUCCUGUGAAGAAAAUGGACGAGGAGCUCUUCGUCAGUCGGG